rnacentral:tRNA from 1 species
UGGGCAGUCGCCAAGCGGUAAGGCAAUGGACUCUGACUCCAUCAUUCACAGGUUCAAAUCCUGUCUGCCUAG